UACGUAGGGUGCAAGCGUUGUCCGGAAUUAUUGGGCGUAAAGAGCUCGUAGGCGGUCUGUCGCGUCUGCUGUGAAAACUCAGGGCUUAACCCUGAGCUUGCAGUGGGUACGGGCAGACUAGAGUGCGGUAGGGGGAGACUGGAAUUCCUGGUGUAGCGGUGAAAUGCGCAGAUAUCAGGAGGGAACACCGGUGGCGAAGGCGGGUCUCUGGGCCGUAACUGACGCUGGAGGAG
rnacentral:rRNA from 1 species